UACAGAGGUCCCGAGCGUUGUUCGGAUUCACUGGGCGUAAAGGGUGCGUAGGUGGCUGGGAAAGUUUGAUGUGAAAGCUCAGGGCUUAACCCUGAAAUGGCAUUGAAUACUACUUAGCUGGAGGUUUGGAGGGGGGACUGGAAUUCUCGGUGUAGCAGUGAAAUGCGUAGAUAUCUGGAGGAACACCGGUGGCGAAGGCGGCAUCCUGGACCGGCAUUGACACUGAGGCGCGAAAGCCAGGGGAGCAAACGGG
rnacentral:rRNA from 1 species